UACAGAGGGGGCAAGCGUGGUUCGGAAUUACUGGGCGUAAAGGGCGCGUAGGCGGCCUGUUAAGUCGAACGUGAAAUCCCCGGGCUCAACCCGGGAACUGCGUCCGAUACUGGCAGGCUUGAAUCCGGGAGAGGGAUGCGGAAUUCCAGGUGUAGCGGUGAAAUGCGUAGAUAUCUGGAGGAACACCGGUGGCGAAGGCGGCAUCCUGGACCGGUAUUGACGCUGAUGCGCGAAAGCCAGGGGAGCAAACGGG
rnacentral:rRNA from 1 species